AGACUAUAUGCAUUCUUUAGAAAGAUGGGGUGUCUUUUGUGAGCCUGAGGCAAAGCUUGUGGAAGCAUACCCUAUUACACCUCCCUGACUUACAGAUGAGCAUGUCACUGUCGUCAGGUUCCACACAGUAGCAACCAAUGCCAUCUGUCAGCAGCUGCAGGGGUGGGGAUGCUGAAGUUUGAGGACGGGGGGUUGUAAACCAUUUCCCAAGCCGUUCAGGCAAAAUUUGGGGUCAUCACACUUCUGUGACAUAGAAGUCUCUGACAAACACAAGGGACAUUUGAUCUCCAUGACCCCCUACCAUGACAGUCACAGACAACAAUUCCAUCAGGGGAUGCUCCAAGCCAAGGUGUUUGUGGAUUUAUAACUAAUCCACAUCCCUCAAUGGAGAAAUGCUCAUGGCAUUUUAGCAUCAGUGCCUCAUAUUCCUUUUUGGCCUGUUUUUCAUAUCCCCAUCUUAAAACAUAAACAAGGCAAUUGUACAAAUGGAAAUACUGUAGGUGACAAAUGUGCAUACACAUUAAAGAUUUAUAGAGCUAAAUCAGGGGUUGUAAUUACCUGGUGGCUACUGAAGUGAACUUGUAGG